rnacentral:rRNA from 1 species
CAGCAGCCGCGGGAAUACGUAGGGUGCGAGCGUUAAUCGGAAUUACUGGGCGUAAAGCGUGCGUAGGCGGUGAGUUAAGUCUGCUGUGAAAUCCCCGGGCUCAACCUGGGAAUGGCAGUGGAUACUGGCUCGCUAGAGUGUGUCAGAGGAUGGUGGAAUUCCCGGUGUAGCGGUGAAAUGCGUAGAGAUCGGGAGGAACAUCAGUGGCGAAGGCGGCCAUCUGGGACAACACUGACGCUGAGGCACGAAAGCGUGGGGAGCAAACAGGAUUAGAUACCCCCGUAGUCCCUGUCUCUUAUAC